UGGUCAUCAAAUGAGCCAGUCUGAACAGCACUGAAGUGACACUGCUGGUCAACUAUGAAAAUGCAGUGAGUGAGAGAAGAGCAACGGGAUGUGAAAAACUGAACUUCACUCACGGUACAGCUGAGGUUUUUCAGCUGAUUGGGAUGUUAAACCAAGUUACUUCCUCAGUCAAAAUGAGGACACACCCAUGCUGACAGCAAAACAAACUUGUUUUGAUUACUGCUCUGCUCCUUUCACUUUUCAGACACUCCAGCCUGCCUCCAUUGUCCCAGUUAGGGUUGUGUCCUUGCCUGGAGAGACAGGACUUUUUUUUGGCAGUUGUUUCUACUAUCUGUCUGUCUUCACCAGGAGCAAAGAUGCUAUCAGUGAACUGCAAUAAGGUCUCUACAACAGUUCCCUCACAUUAUAUAAGGUGGCAGUGUACAGGGCUCUUCUCAGUUUUCUUUUUUUAAUUGGCAGAGUUAUUACCUAUAUGAAGCCAACUUUUUUUUUUUAAAGCUUGCUAGUGAAAGGCACAGGAACAAACACCAGAUGAUGCCCUAUGAUGACCUUUCUAGUUUCUAUUGUAGAGCUACGUCCUGAAAAUAUUUCUCUGGCAAAUAUAUUUUUCUCUCUUCAGAUAAUUUGGAAGCAGAUUGUGGCCAAGCUCACACACAAUGUUGGAGAAGAUCUUUUUCAAGCAGCUUUUCCUCCUUUGUGUCCUUGAGCACAGCCUGAAGAAUCUCCCACCUUAAAACAGCAUUCUGUCUGAAGUGUGAAGACCCUCCAGAUAGAUUCCAUCCACUCUGACUUUCAGAAGCUGGCAAAGCUUGGCAAAACUUCUACUGUCAUCUUCUAGAACGUGGAAGAUUGAUUAUCUGCUUUAUGUUCAGUUUGUGUUUUGGCAUUGAAGAAAAAUGAAGAGGCAGCUUGGUUUAUUUAAACAAAAUAUAUCAGGUCAGCCAUGAGCAAUAGAAGUAUUCCAGUAAAGCAAAGGGAAGAAGAUUACAUGCUGGCUUCCUUCUCCAGGCUUGUAGGGGGAAGAAAUCUAAGGUUUUAAUUUCCAGACCUGCUUACAGGAUGCUUAUAAUUUUUACAAACCGCAAGUUUUGACUCAGAAAAAAAGAUGAACAUUAAAGCAAAGUUGAAGAAUGUAAUCAAAAUGGGAUUUAUGUCCUGAGAUGUCUUUAAACGUCCUUGUAGUAUUUAAAUAAAGUUGAAAUUAUCUUA